rnacentral:rRNA from 1 species
CCUACGUGUGACAGCAGUGGGGAAUAUUGGGCAAUGGGCGCAAGCCUGACCCAGCAACGCCGCGUGAAGGAAGAAGGCUUUCGGGUUGUAAACUUCUUUUCUCAGGGACGAAGAAAGUGACGGUACCUGAGGAAUAAGCCACGGCUAACUACGUGCCAGCAGCCGCGGUAAUACGUAGGUGGCAAGCGUUAACCGGAUUUACGGGGGGUAAAGGGCGUGGAGGCGGGACUUCAAGUCAGAUGUGAAAACCACGGGCUCAACCUGUGGCCUGCAUUUGAAACUGUAGUUCUUGAGUACUGGAGAGGCAGACGGAAUUCCUAGUGUAGCGGUGAAAUGCGUAGAUAUUAGGAGGAACACCAGUGGCGAAGGCGGUCUGCUGGACAGCAACUGACGCUGAGGCGCGAAAGCGUGGGGAGCAAACAGGAUUAGAUACCCUAGUAGUC